rnacentral:lncRNA from 1 species
UUCCUGGGCCAGGGACUAAACCUGCUCCACAGCAGCAACCUGAGCCACAGCAGUGAUAAUGCCCAAUUCUUAACCUGCUAAGCCAUCAGGACACACCAAGAAUUAUUAUUUGAAUAGUUACUCUCUAUGUAGUCUCUGGAGGCAGCUUCCCAAAAACCAGUCUAACUUCUAGGGUCCCUGAAAGCUAUUUUUAAAAGGUCCCCCAGUGAGGAAUGGUUCCUUUGUCCACAGCUUCUGUUCUUACUACAAGAAUGAUAACUGGGGAUGUGGCUGGGUGAGGUUUUCUAAGUAUUCAGACUCCUUCUGACCUGUUCACCUCCUUGGUGACAAAGUAUCUGCAUCUCUAGAACCAUCCCUGUGCCUUUAAUCCUCUUUCAGUAUUUAGACAAAGAAGAAGUUAUCUGGUAGUCAGAGUUUUGGAAUAACUGGUUAAACAUAAGUGAAACUCAAGCAGGUGGAAACACAACUUCAACCAGGCAGUUACUCUUUGAUAAUCUGUAUAUCUAAAUGCUAAUAAUAUUUUACCUUCUUGUCCUUCUAUGCUUCAACAGGCAGAUGGACACAUAAUUAUUGUUUGAUUGACUACUGGAGCAGAAAAGAGAAUGAGCUAAAAGUCCCAUAAAUGAAUUUAACAUGGGCAGAUUCAGGUUUUGAGGAUCCUGAAGCAUAAGCAAUUUGGGGUACUCUCUUGAAGAAAAAUAUAUAAUUAUGCAUACAAACUUAGGUUAAAAAGUGAAUAGUUACUUGGAAUGAAAAAUCACAUCAAAUCAUGGUUAAUACAUUGAAAAUAGCCCAAAUAUCACAAAACCCAGAAAAAUAACAAUAUUUUUAAUAGGUGACACACCUCUGGCCCAGGAUCUCAUGACAUGAUGCUGAAAGAGUCACCAUAGUGGGAGUUAGGAAUGUUCCAGAAGCCACUCCUAUACUUAGAUGACUAGCAAUAACUAUACUUGGAAGUGACAGAAAACCACAUAAACACGCCCCAUUAAACCUGCAUGACAUGUAUCUGUAAUUCAACUUCCCCUUAGCUGGAUGUCCCAGCCACUUCAACACCAUCCAACCUCAAGAACAGUGCCACCAAGGAAAAGUCUGAGUUUGAGCCAGUCGUCUUAAAACAACUGCACAUUUCAUAGAGAAGGUUAAUAUUAGAAGAGACAGAGAAAAACAAGCUGCUACAACUUUUUUCAUUUUGUCUAUUAGCAAAUAAUUGUCAUCAUCUCAGACCAUCACAUGAUAAUCACUUUGGCAAUGAAAGCAGAGAGUUCCUCUGGUGUCAGAGCGCCCCUCUUCUCUCUGUAGGACAGAACCCAUUCCUUCCCCACUGUCCCUAAUCUGAACCACACACCUCUAGGGUCCUCUACUUUGUCUCUGGACAAAUAUAUGCCUUAUACAUUUGGUGUUUUCUGCUUUGUGCUUCACUAGCCACUUCAAAGGUAGAGAUUUAGUGAUAUUUUUCAUGAAACAGAACCAAAAAUCCUCAAAUUUACAUGGAACCAUAAAAGACUCCUCUUCUGAGGAAAAAACAAACAAAAACAAAGCUAGAGGUAUGAUACUCUCUGACUUCAAAUUAAUUAUAUUACAAUGCUGUAGUACUCAAAACAGUCCAGUAUUGGCAGAAAAAAUGGACACAGAGAUCAACAACCCAGUAAUAAACCUACAGAUAUAUGGCCAAUUCAUUUAGGACAAAUGAGCAAAGAACAAUACAAUAGAGAAGGGAUAGCAUCUUCCAAUAAAUGGUAAUGGUAAAACUGGAUAGCCACAUGCAACACAAUGAAAUUUCACCACUAUCUUACAUCGCACCCAAAAAUUAACUCAAAAUGGUGUUAAUACCUGAAACCAGAAAAUUAUUACAAGAAAAUAUAGGCAGUUCACAUUUUGACAUCAGUCCCAGUAAUAUCUAUCUGGAUAUGUCUCCUCAGGCAAGAGAAACAAAAGCAAAAACAAGACAUACAGACGGCCAAACACAUACAUGAAAAGAUGUUCAACAUCAUCAGAGAAUAAAAAUCAAAAGCACAGUAAGAUAUCACCUCAUGCCUGUUAGUACUGUUAUCAAAAAGGCAAGAAAUGUUGGAGAGGAUAUGGGGGCAGGGGGAGUUUACAUACAAUGCUGGUGGGAAUGUAAACUGGUGUAGCCGCUACGGAAAACAUUAUGGAGAUUUCUCAAUAAAUUAAGAAUAGGACUACCCUAAGAUCCAGCUAUUCCAUUUCUAGGUUGCCAUUUGCGACAACGUGGACAAAAUUAGGUGGACAAAAUGAGGGUAUUAGGUGGAAAAAAUGAGGGUAUUAGGCAAAGUGCAAUAAGUCAAAGAAAGACAUACUAUAUGAAUUCACUCAUAUGUGGGACAGUAAUAAAAAUAAAUAAAUAAAACAAAAACAAACACAUAGAUAGAGAAUACAGUGGUGGUUACCAGAGUAGAAAGUGUAUAGGGGAGGGUGAAAUGGCUAAAGAGGGUCCACUGUAUGGUGACAGAUGAAAACUAAACAUUCGGUGGUGCUCAUGCUAUAGUGUAUACAGAAGUUGAAAUACAAUGCUGUACACAUGAAACUUACAUGAUGUUACAAAGCAGUUACAACCUCAAUUUAAAAAUAAAAAUGAGGAGUUCUUGUCAUGGUGCAAUGGUUAACGAAUCCAACUAGGAACCAUGAGGUUUCAGGUUCGAUCCCUGGCCCUGCUCAGUGGGUUAAGGAUCCAGCGUUGCCGUGAGCUGCGGUGUAGGUUGCAGAUGCGCGGCUCGGAUCCACAUUGCUGUGGCUGCAGCGUAGGCCGGUGGCUACAGCUCCGAUUAGACCCCUAGCCUGGGAACCUCCAUAUGCUGUGGGAAGUGGCCCUAGAAAAGGAAAAAAAUAAAAAUUAAAAAACAAAUAAAUAAAUAAAAAUAAAAAUGAAAUAAAGGAAAAGCCUCCGAGAUAGAAUACCUACUUUUUUCCCUAUCAUCUUAUAAGCAUGCCUACUCAAAGUAAAUUAAUAGAUUCCCAGACUUCUAAAACAGUGGUUUAAAUAGUAUUUCAUAUUGUUAUCCCCAACUGUGACUCUAGAAUAUAUUUUUUCCUUUCAAUAUUAUUACAACUGAUAAGUUUGAGGUUUCUGCCUUGAUUGCUCUGAACAUUAAGAAUAUUGAUAACUCUUAACAUGAUUUUCUUAACAUUCAGCCAUUCACCAACACAAACUCCAACUUUCAAGGCAGUUUUUGUCCUUCACUAAGUUUUCUCUAAAAAUCAAAUUGACAUUAAUCCUUAAUAAAAUACUUACCAUGCUAUAUGGCAAUCAUGUCCAUCAAUUAGGAGUCACUUCGAGGCAAAAACUGUCUUAACAUUUAUAUGCACAUCACACAUUAGAGUGGCAAAUAGUAACUGCUAAAUAUCUGCUGGGCAAAUGAAUGCAUAUCUGAAUGAAGGAUACACAUCACUAAAAUAUAUACACUUAUUUUACAGAGGUAUGACUAUUAAUGAGAAUACCUGAAAAUUUGCCUUGCUUUUCAAUUUAACUGUUACCACAUAGGCAAAAAACAUUACAGUAGUUUAGAUGGAGGUUUAAAUUAUUUUUAGAUAACCUCAAAAGAUUCAUCAGUGGAACUUCCAACUCUUGUAAUCUAGGAAGAAAAAAAACCUCAGCUCACUCCACCCUAACCCUUCC